GGUGGGUUAUAUCAGUGUGUUGCAAGAUUAGUUCCUAGCAUUGAGGUUCAAGAUAAGAUUAUUCAUGAAUUAUCUUUAUAUAAAAAUGCUGAAGGUCUUUUUGGAAUUCCAAUUGUCGUUCGAUCUAGGACAACUACCUCUCCAGAUAUUAAUAAUUUGAUAUAAUUAAUUUCAUAUAUAUUAUGUUACUAUGUUAUUGCUAAUAAUAACAUAAAUUUUGCAGCUGAAUGGUGGAGUCUAUUUGGAAAUUCCACCCCGAACUUACAGAAAUUUGCUGUCAAAGUACUUAGUUUGACAUGUAGUGCUUCGGGUUGUGAGCGAAACUGGAGUGUCUUUGAGCAUAUUCACUCGAAGAGAAGAAAUCGGUUAGAACAUCAACGAUUGCACGAUCUUGUUUACAUAAAGUAUAAUCAAGCUUCGAAGACUCGUCAUGAUUUGAAAAAUAGAUUUGAUUCAAUCUCAUUGCAAGAUAUUGAUGAUUCAAAUGAGUGGUUAGUAGGAGAAAUGGGUGCUAACUUGCAAGAUGCUGAAGACGAGCUUGUAUUUGAAGAUGAUAGAUUGACGUGGGGAGAUGUGGCAAGAGCUUCAGGUGCUGGAGAAUUACAAACAUAUACAAGACAGAUGUCAAAGAGAAAAAUGAGUGCAAAAGCAUCAAGCUCGGCUCCUGCUAUUGUUGAAGACAUAGAGAAUGAAACAUAUCUUGAUGAAGAGGAAGGAAUCGAAGAACAAGAGGAAGAAGACGAAUUCAAUGAAGAUGAUUUGUGUGAAAAUGACGAUAAUAUUGAUUAUGAUGAAUGACUUUGAUGUAAAAUGUUAAUGUUUUGAAUUUUGAAA